rnacentral:rRNA from 1 species
AACGAACGCUGGCGGCAGGCUUAACACAUGCAAGUCGAACGGCUGUAGCAAUACAGCAGUGGCAGACGGGUGAGUAACACGUGGGAACCUUCCUAGGGGUACGGAACAACUCAGGGAAACUUGAGCUAAUACCGUAUACGUCCGUAAGGAGAAAGAUUCAUCGCCCCUAGACGGGCCCGCGUCGGAUUAGGUAGUUGGUGGGGUAACGGCCUACCAAGCCUGCGAUCCGUAGCUGAUCUGAGAGGAUGAUCAGCCACACUGGGACUGAGACACGGCCAGACUCCUACGGGAGGCAGCAGUGGGGAAUCUUGGACAAUGGGCGCAAGCCUGAUCCAGCCAUGCCGCGUGAGUGAAGAAGGCCUUAGGGUUGUAAAGCUCUUUUACCAGGGACGAUAAUGACGGUACCUGGAGAAUAAGCCCCGGCAAACUUCGUGCCAGCCGCCGCCGUAAC